ACACUCAUUCACACACAAUACACAAUUCUCACAGAAGAGGAAAUAUAUGCACACCAUUACUCACAAUAAAAAGAUCUCAUAAAUACACACACAGUCAUCGGCGCAUACACAGCCAUCGAAAGACGCACACACAAAAUGUAAAAUACACACACACACAUCGGGAACACACAAAAAGAAAGAGAAAGAGGUGAGAAAACCAGAGAGAGAAAGGAGCAGGAAAGAUUUUUUUGGUGAAUCCUCAUCGAAGAACGUUACAGCCAGUAGAUUUUCUCUAUUUUUGGUCCCUGUUGGAGCUCGUCGGGGCUCCGAUGAGAUGAAAACUGCAACUCCAGCUUGAAAAAACCCCAAGCAAUCGAAACCAACCCAUUUCUGCUUGAUUUCGAUGAAAUCCAUUGGAAACAAGUGAAACAAGGUCGGUUUGCACAAAAUCAGGUUCGGGUUUGUCUAUUUUUCACAAUUUCUAUUUUGGGUCAUCGAAAAAUGAAAAAAGGGAUGCAUACCGGAGCUGGGUUCUGUAUUGAGGUUCGAUUCGAGGUUUAAAGGUGUGCUUCCAUUCUUUUAUCGUGCAAUUUGGCAUAUUAAAAGCACAUUUGAGGUCUAAUUAUCUCAUAUCUCUUUAUUUUAAUUUCAGUGUGAUUGUGGAUGUGAUUUGAUUUCAUUAUUCUAUUUGUUUGGCUGAUUUCUUUGAUAUUUGAUGUUGUUUGCUUUUGAAUAAUUGAUCUCAAUGGUAUGAAUGUAAUGACAAUAUGAGUUUGGGAUUAUAUUAAAAUGUAAUCGGGUGGGAAUCAAAAUGGAUAAAGUUGAACGUUGGUUAGUUUGAUCUAUUGAUUGUUGUUUGAUUUGAAACGGAUGUUAAUUUUGACAAAUUUAAUAGUAUCAUAUCUUAGGCUGAGAAUUAAUAGGAAAAUUUUAGGUUGGGUAGGAAAAAGUAGGAAUUGUAGAUUGUUGAAUAUUUGAAAUUUUCUGUUGAAUGGUUUGUUUUAUCAGAUUUGACUCAAUUGUACUCAUUUGUCCGAGGAAUGCACCUAGAAAAAUUGUAUUUGUUAUCAGGGAAUGCCCCACAAUAUUUUGUACUCGGAAGACCGAUCGUGAUCAAGGUCCGAGGAAUCGGGUAAAGCAUAGUGUAGGAUAGAUAGAAUAGUUUACGUUUUAAUUUCAGUAUUUUUAUUUUUGUUUGUAAUAAAUUGAACUGGACAUUAACGUUUAAAUUUUCAUUUUUUAGUUUGUGUGUUUUAUGGGGUUUAUUCACUUCAUAGUGUCUAUUAGUCGAUAUACUCUACGAAGCGACAGCGGUCGAACCACGGGAUCGAGAAGUGCCUA
rnacentral:lncRNA from 1 species